AACCAUAGAAACCUGCGGAGUACCUGCGGAGGGAUCAUUACAAGUGACCCCGGUUUACCACCGGGAUGUUCAUAACCCUUUGUUGUCCGACUCUGUUGCCUCCGGGGCGACCCUGCCUUCGGGCGGGGGCUCCGGGUGGACACUUCAAACUCUUGCGUAACUUUGCAGUCUGAGUAAACUUAAUUAAUAAAUUAAAACUUUCAACAAUGGAUCU
rnacentral:misc_RNA from 1 species